GCAGCGGAGCGUGUGGUUUAAUUCGAUGCUACACGAAGAACCUUACAGGGUUUGACAUGCAAGUGGUAGGAAACCGAAAGGCGACCGACCUUCGGGGAGCUUGCACAGGUGCUGCAUGGCUGUCGUCAGCUCGUGUCGUGAGAUGUUCGGUUAAGUCCGCUAACGAGCGCAACCCUCGCUGUGUGUUACAAGUGUCACACGGUACUGCCGGUCUUAAGCCGGAGGAAGGUGGGGAUGACGUCAAGUCAGCAUGGCCUUUAUGUCCUGGGCUACACACACGCUACAAUGGCCAACACAAUAGGUUGCUAAGCCGCGAGGUGGAGCCAAUCCUCAAAGUUGGUCUCAGUUCAGAUUGCAGGCUGCAACCCGCCUGCAUGAAGAUGGAGUUGCUAGUAACCGCAGGUCAGCUAUACUGCGGUGAAUACGUUCCCGGGGCUU
rnacentral:rRNA from 1 species